rnacentral:rRNA from 1 species
AUUGAACGCUGGCGGCAGGCCUAACACAUGCAAGUCGAACGGUAACAGGAAAAGACUUGCUUCUUUCCUGACGCGAGGCGGGCGGGUGAGUAAUAUCCGGCGGAAUGCCUUUUGGAGUGGGAUAAAUACUAGAAAAACUAGCUCAUACAGCAUAACGUCGCAAGAGCAAAGAGCGGGAGCUUCGGGCCUCUUGCCCUCUGGUGUGCCCAGAUGGGAUUAGCUAGUAGGUGGGGUAACGGCGCACCUAGGCGACGAUCCCUAGCUGGUCUGAGAGGAUGAUCAGCCACACUGGAACUGAGACACGGUCCAGACUCCUACGGGAGGCAGCAGUGGGGAAUAUUGGACAAUGGGCGCAAGCCUGAUGCAGCCAUGCCGCGUGUAUGAAGAAGGCCUUCGGGUUGUAAAGUCCUUUUAGCGGGGAGGAAAGGAGGAAGGUUAAUACCUUGCCGCAUUGACGGUACCCGAAGAAGAAGCACCGGCUAACUCCGUG